rnacentral:tRNA from 1 species
GGGUUGCUAACUCAAAGGUAGAGUACUCGGCUCUUAAAGAAUCUACUUUCAUCCGACUAGUUCCGGGUUCGAGCCCCGGGCAACCCA